rnacentral:rRNA from 1 species
GAUGAACGCUGGCGGCGUGCUUAACACAUGCAAGUCGAACGAAGCACUUUAUUUGAUUUCCUUCGGGACUGAUUAUUUUGUGACUGAGUGGCGGACGGGUGAGUAACGCGUGGAUAACCUGCCUUGUACAGGGGGAUAACAGUUGGAAACGGCUGCUAAUACCGCAUAAGCGCACAGCAUCGCAUGAUGCAGUGUGAAAAACUCCGGUGGUAUAAGAUGGACCCGCGUUGGAUUAGCUAGUUGGUGAGGUAACGGCCCACCAAGGCGACGAUCCAUAGCCGACCUGAGAGGGUGACCGGCCACAUUGGGACUGAGACACGGCCCAAACUCCUACGGGAGGCAGCAGUGGGGAAUAUUGCACAAUGGGCGAAAGCCUGAUGCAGCGACGCCGCGUGAGCGAAGAAGUAUUUCGGUAUGUAAAGCUCUAUCAGCAGGGAAGAUAAUGACGGUACCUGACUAAGAAGCACCGGCUAAAUACGU